rnacentral:rRNA from 1 species
CCUACGGGCUUCAGCAGUCUUUACUUUUUCCCCCUUUUUUCCCCCCUGCCGCCGCCCCGCCGCGUGAUCGAUGAAGCCCUUCGGGGUGUAAAGAUCUGUCAGUGGGGACGAAACCUGACGGUACCCACAGAGGAAGCACCGGCUAACUCCGUGCCAGCAGCCGCGGUAAUACGGGGGGUGCAAGCGUUGUCCGGAAUCAUUGGGCGUAAGGAGUUCGUAGGUGGCACGUUAAGUCUGGUGUUAAAGGCGGAAGCUCAACUUCCGUAGGGCACUGGAUACUGGCGAGCUUGAAUGCGGUAGAGGUAAAGGGAAUUCCUGGUGUAGCGGUGAAAUGCGUAGAUAUCAGGAGGAACAUCGGUGGCGUAGGCGCUUUACUGGGCCGUAAUUGACACUGAGGAACGAAAGCCGGGGUAGCAAAUGGGAUUAGAUACCCGUGUAGUC